CCAUAACCAAGAAGCAAGUUGGGGAGGAAAGGGUUUAUUCAGCUUACACUUCCACAUUGCUGUUCAUCACCAAAGGAAGUCUGGCACUCACACAGGGCAGGAACUUAGAGGCAGGAGCUGAUGUAGAGGCCAUGGAGGGUGCUGCUUACUGGAUCUCUUCCCCUGGCUUGCUCAGCUUGUUUUCUUAUAGAAUCCAGGACUACAAGCCCAGGAACAAUACCACCCACAAUGGGCCCUCCCACCCUUGAUCACUAAUUGAGAAAAUUACAUGACCCAGACCCUUACAGCUGGGUCUCAUGGAGGCAUUUUCUCAAGGGAGGCUCCUUUUUUCUGUAAUAGCUCCAACUUAUGUCAGGUUGACACAUAAAGCCAGCCAGUAUAUAUUGUAACAGUCUAGGACUAAGAAAUCAUUGGAACUUACUUCUUUCUGGUUUUAGACUUGGAUAUUUAUUACCCUUCUGUAUUAGUUUCUUUUGCGAUUGCAGUUCACAUUUUGAUCCACCAGUAAGAAGCAGAGAGAGAAUACUGGGAAUGGCUUGAGUCUUUUGAAACCUCAGAGCCUUCCCCCAGUGACCUCCUCUAACCAGGCCACACCUCUCGAUCCUUCCUAAACAUUUUCACUGCUGGGGACCAAGUAUUCAAAUGUAUGAGCAGGACUGUAUUCACUCACACCACUUGUUGCUCCCCACCUCCCCCAGGAUCAUGGCCGUGUAAUCAGGAAAAACGAAUUCAGUCUAACUUCUGAAGGUCCCCAUAGACUUUCCCAGUCUCAGCACUGCAAAAGUCCUACAGUCAGCGUCUCUUCUGAGACUCAAGGUAGUCUCGUAGUUGUAACUCCUGUGAAAUCAAAGUAAAUUCCAUAUU
rnacentral:lncRNA from 1 species